AAAAGACCUAAAGGAAGCAUUCAACCCAGUCUUGUUUGUGGAGAGGUAUUUAUAAGGAUUACUCACAGAUUGUGCCGGCCUUCUUUUCCAGGUCUCUACAAUACCAAAAUCAACAGCUCUUUUACGAGCCAACCCUCACAAACCUUCCUAAAAACUAAAAGAGCUAUUACUGAGUCUCAAUGAAUCUUGCCAUGAUCAGCCCCUCCCAGAAGAGAAGAUAGACCAAGGAAGUCUUUUGUUCAGGGUGAGGAAUGAAUAUGGCCAUCUUGCCUCGUCCCAACUCCUCCUUCCGCACACGACAUCUGACAGAAGAACCGACCAAACACAAUAUGUUCUGGGCUGAGGAAUUCCUUAUGAACAUCCAGCAGGCGGAGAGGCCAUUGGAGCAGUAUCGCAUACUGGAGCAGUAUGUCUCCUUAUUUGGUCUUUCCUGUUCUGUUUCUUAUUAUGAAGUCACUGUUUAACCACUUACACCUGUCCUUGUCUCAUUAGCCUGGUUAUAUAAGUUUGAUUCAGUUCCUUGGUCUUUGUCGGUUCUUAGUGUCAUUUAAGGUUGUUUUCGUUGUGUUAGCGUGUGGUUUCCCUGCUGUUCCUGUUCCCUGGUUUGGAUUAUUAAA